rnacentral:rRNA from 1 species
GACGAACGCUGGCGGCGUGCCUAAUACAUGCAAGUAGAACGCUGAAGGAGGAGCUUGCUUCUCCGGAUGAGUUGCGAACGGGUGAGUAACGCGUAGGUAACCUGCCUGGUAGCGGGGGAUAACUAUUGGAAACGAUAGCUAAUACCGCAUAAGAGUAGAUGUCGCAUGACAUUUGCUUAAAAGGUGCAACUGCACCACUACCAGAUGGACCUGCGUUGUAUUAGCUAGUUGGUGAGGUAACGGCUCACCAAGGCAACGAUACAUAGCCGACCUGAGAGGGUGAUCGGCCAAACUGGGACUGAGACAAGGCCCAGACUCCUACGGGAGGCAGCAGUAGGGAAUCUUCGGCAAUGGACGGAAGUCUGACCGAGCAACGCCGCGGGAGUGAAGAAGGUUUUCGGAUCGUAAAGCUCUGUUGUAAGAGAAGAACGAGUGUGAGAGUGGAAAGUUCACACUGUGACGGUAUCUUACCAGAAAGGGACGGCUAACUACGUG